rnacentral:rRNA from 1 species
GACGAACGCUGGCGGCGUGCUUAACACAUGCAAGUUGAACGGAAAGGCCCUGCUUUUGUGGGGUGCUCGAGUGGCGAACGGGUGAGUAACACGUGAGUAUCCUGCCCUUGACUUUGGGAUAACUUCAGGAAACUGGGGCUAAUACCGGAUAGGAGCUCCUGCUGCAUGGUGGGGGUUGGAAAGUUUCGGCGGUUGGGGAUGGACUCGCGGCUUAUCAGCUUGUUGGUUGGGUAGUGGCUUACUAAGGCUUUGACGGAUAGCCGGCCUGAGAGGGUGACCGGGCGCAUGGGGACUGAGGGACGGCCCAGAGUCCUACGGGGGGCAGCAGGGGGGAAUAUUACACAGUGGGCGGAAGCCUGAGGCGGCGACGCCGCGUGCGGGAUGACGGCCUUCGGGUUGUAAACCGCUUUCGCCUGUGACGAAGCGUGAGUGACGGUAAUGGGUAAAGAAGCACCGGCUAACUACGUG